UACAUAGGGACCAAGCGUUGUUCGGAUUUACUGGGCGUAAAGGGCGCGUAGGCGGCGUGUUAAGUCACUUGUGAAAUCUCUAAGCUUAACUUAGAACGGUCAAGUGAUACUGAUGUGCUAGAGUGCAGAAGGGGCAACCGGAAUUCUUGGUGUAGCGGUGAAAUGCGUAGAUAUCAAGAGGAACACCUGAGGUGAAGACGGGUUGCUGGGCUGACACUGACGCUGAGGCGCGAAAGCUAGGGUAGCAAACGGG
rnacentral:rRNA from 1 species